UACGGAGGGAGCUAGCGUUGUUCGGAAUUACUGGGCGUAAAGCGUAUGCAGGCGGAUCGAUAAGUCGGGGGUGAAAUCCUGAGGCUCAACCUCAGAACUGCCUUCGAUACUGUCGAUCUUGAGUCCGGGAGAGGUUAGUGGAACUGCGAGUGUAGAGGUGGAAUUCGUAGAUAUUCGCAAGAACACCAGUGGCGAAGGCGGCUAACUGGCCCGGUACUGACGCUGAGAUACGAAAGCGUGGGGGGCAAACAGG
rnacentral:rRNA from 1 species